rnacentral:sRNA from 1 species
CAGAGGCCACCAGAACAACGAAAGGUCCAGUUCUUCCACAGAAUGGCCAGAACACAGGCAGGUUUCCCUGCAUGCUGCCCUGCUAAUGAGCCUCAACCCUCCCUUGGGACCAGCUCUAGAGACAAGAAACCAGUUUGGUUUCUGUGCCCAUUCUGUCCUUGGCCUCU